rfam:Danio rerio chromosome 8, GRCz11 reference primary assembly.
GCCGGCAGCUAGCUCUCUGCAACUCUCACAUGGUUGCCCACUGAAGCUAAGCAGGGCUGCGCCCGGUCAGUACCUGGAUGGGAGACCACAUGGGAAAGCUAGGUUGCUGCCGGAA